GAUGAACGCUGGCGGCGUGCUUAACACAUGCAAGUCGAACGGAAAGGCCCAAGCUUGCUUGGGUACUCGAGUGGCGAAAGGGUGAGUAACACGUGGGUGAUCUGCCCUGCACUUCGGGAUAAGCCUGGGAAACUGGGUCUAAUACCGGAUAGGACCACUUCGUAGUUGUUGUGGUGGAAAGUUUUUUCGGUGUGGGAUGAGCUCGCGGCCUAUCAGCUUGUUGGUGGGGUAAUGGCCUACCAAGGCGUCGACGGGUAGCCGGCCUGAGAGGGUGUACGGCCACAUUGGGACUGAGAUACGGCCCAGACUCCUACGGGCGGCAGCAGUGGGGAAUAUUGCACAAUGGGCGGAAGCCUGAUGCAGCGACGCCGCGUGGGGGAUGACGGCCUUCGGGUUGUAAACUCCUUUCGCAAAAGACGAAUUUAGGAUGGUAUUUGGAGAAGAAGCACCGGCUAACUACGUG
rnacentral:rRNA from 1 species